rnacentral:rRNA from 1 species
GACGAACGCUGGCGGCGUGCUUAACACAUGCAAGUCGAACGGAAAGGCCCUGCCUUUGUGGGGUGCUCGAGUGGCGAACGGGUGAGUAACACGUAGGUAACCUGCCCUUGACUUUGGGAUAACUUCAGGAAACUGGAGCUAAUACCGGAUAGGAGCUCCUGCCGCAUGGUGGGGGUUGGAAAGUUUCGGCGGUUGGGGAUGGACUCGCGGCUUAUCAGCUUGUUGGAGGGGUAGUGGCUGAGCCAGGCUAGGCCGGGUAGCCGGCCUGAGAGGGGGACCGGCCCCAUUGGGAUUGGGAUACGGCCCGGACUCCUACGGGAGGCAGCGGUGGAGAAUAGUGCACAAUGGGCGGAGGCCUGAUGCAGCAACGCCGCGUGGGGGAUGACGGCCUUCGGGUUGUAAACCGCUUUCGCCUGUGACGAAGCGUGAGUGACGGUAAUGGGUAAAGAAGCACCGGCUAACUACGUG